UUAAAUCAAAUUUGUAUGGAGUUGGAACGUUUCGCUACGUUUUCCACUAGGGGCGCUGUUCCAACUGCAAUAUAAGUUUGAGUUA
rnacentral:pre_miRNA from 1 species